rnacentral:lncRNA from 10 species
AGCGAUUGAUCCACCUCUGCCUCCUGAGUAGCUGAAACUACAGGUAAUCUGCAUCUCAUUAAUUGGACCAUAAGACCAAGCAGCCACACCUCAGUUUUAUCCGGGUACAAAAUCUGGCAGCUCCACUGGGACAGAGCUGCCCUCAGCAGCUAGAGGCUUGUGACCUGACGGUCUUUAGGAGACUCCCAGCAGCUGCUAGGUACAGUUUGUCCUGAGGACGCUUCUGAGAACUUUCCCUGGGCAAAAGGACCACCCAUCCCCUUGCUACUGGGGUAGAACAGGGGCUAGGACACUGAAGGGGAGCAUUGUGAACUCUGAAGAACUGUGCCACACAUUCCAGCCCGGUGAUCAAGUGCUAUU